GUUGAUGCAAAUGAUGACUUCGCUUUUUUCCCCAUCGGAUCGACAAUGCUGACGUCUUAUAUUUUGCCAGUUAGUCCUGAUACAUCGGC
rnacentral:snoRNA from 10 species